GACGAACGCUGGCGGCGUGCUUAACACAUGCAAGUCGAACGGAAAGGCCCUGCUUUUGUGGGGUGCUCGAGUGGCGAACGGGUGAGUAACACGUGAGUAACCUGCCCUUGACUUUGGGAUAACUUCAGGAAACUGGGGCUCAUACCGGAUAGGAGCUCCUGCUGCAUGGUGGGGGUUGGAAAGUUUCGGCGGUUGGGGAUGGACUCGCGGCUUAUCAGCUUGUUGGUGGGGUAGUGGCUUACCAAGGCUUUGACGGGUAGCCGGCCUGAGAGGGUGACCGGCCACAUUGGGACUGAGAUACGGCGCAGACGCCUACGGGAGGCAGCAGGGGGGAAUAUUGCAGAAUGGGGGGAAGCCUGAUGCAGCAACGCCGCGUGCGGGAUGACGGCCUUCGGGUUGUAAACCGCUUUCGCCUGUGACGAAGCGUGAGUGACGGUAAUGGGUAAAGAAGCACCGGCUAACUACGUG
rnacentral:rRNA from 1 species